rnacentral:rRNA from 1 species
AUGACGAGGCACUACGGUGCUGAAGCAACAAAUGCCCUGCUUCCAGGAAAAGCCUCUAAGCAUCAGGUAACAUCAAAUCGUACCCCAAACCGACACAGGUGGUCAGGUAGAGAAUACCAAGGCGCUUGAGAGAACUCGGGUGAAGGAACUAGGCAAAAUGGUGCCGUAACUUCGGGAGAAGGCACGCUGAUAUGUAGGUGAGGUCCCUCGCGGAUGGAGCUGAAAUCAGUCGAAGAUACCAGCUGGCUGCAACUGUUUAUUAAAAACACAGCACUGUGCAAACACGAAAGUGGACGUAUACGGUGUGACGCCUGCCCGGUGCCGGAAGGUUAAUUGAUGGGGUUAGCGCAAGCGAAGCUCUUGGUCGAAGCCCCGGUAAACGGCGGCCGCAACAAUAACGGUCCUAAGGUAGCGAAAUUCCUUGUCGGGUAAGUUCCGACCUGCACGAAUGGCGUAAUGAUGGCCAGGCUGUCUCCACCCGAGACUCAGUGAAAUUGAACUCGCUGUGAAGAUGCAGUGUACCCGCGGCAAGACGGAAAGACCCCGUGAACCUUUACUAUAGCUUGACACUGAACAUUGAGCCUUGAUGUGUAGGAUAGGUGGGAGGCUUUGAAGUGUGGACGCCAGUCUGCAUGGAGCCGACCUUGAAAUACCACCCUUUAAUGUUUGAUGUUCUAACGUUGACCCGUAAUCCGGGUUGCGGACAGUGUCUGGUGGGUAGUUUGACUGGGGCGGUCUCCUCCUAAAGAGUAACGGAGGAGCACGAAGGUUGGCUAAUCCUGGUCGGACAUCAGGAGGUUAGUGCAAUGGCAUAAGCCAGCUUGACUGCGAGCGUGACGGCGCGAGCAGGUGCGAAAGCAGGUCAUAGUGAUCCGGUGGUUCUGAAUGGAAGGGCCAUCGCUCAACGGAUAAAAGGUACUCCGGGGAUAACAGGCUGAUACCGCCCAAGAGUUCAUAUCGACGGCGGUGUUUGGCACCUCGAUGUCGGCUCAUCACAUCUUGGGGCUGAAGUAGGUCCCAAGGGUAUGGCUGUUCGCCAUUUAAAGUGGUACGCGAGCUGGGUUUAGAACGUCGUGAGACAGUUCGGUCCCUAUCUGCCGUGGGCGCUGGAGAACUGAGGGGGGCUGCUCCUAGUACGAGAGGACCGGAGUGGACGCAUCACUGGUGUUCGGGUUGUCAUGCCAAUGGCACUACCCGGUAGCUAAAUGCGGAAGAGAUAAGUGCUGAAAGCAUCUAAGCACGAAACUUGCCCCGAGAUGAGUUCUCCCUGACUCCUUGAGAGUCCUGAAGGAACGUUGAAGACGACGACGUUGAUAGGCCGGGUGUGUAAGCGCAGCGAUGCGUUGAGCUAACCGGUACUAAUGAACCGUGAGGCUUAACC